rnacentral:rRNA from 1 species
UUAAAGAGUUCUAUAACUCCCAAACCCAUGUGAACAUACCUAACGUUGCCUCGGCAGGUCGCACCUACCUUGUAGCACCCUACCCUGUAGGGCCUACCCGGGAGGUGCGGGUAAGCCUGCCGGCGGCCCACCAAACUCUGUUUGAUAUUGAAUUCUGAACCUAUAACUAAAUAAGUUAAAACUUUCAACAACGGAUCUCUUGGUUCUGGCAUCGAUGAAGAACGCAGCGAAAUGCGAUAAGUAAUGUGAAUUGCAGAAUUCAGUGAAUCAUCGAAUCUUUGAACGCAUAUUGCGCCCAUUAGUAUUCUAGUGGGCAGGACCGUUCGAGCGUCAUUUCAACCCUUAAGCCUUCGUUGCUUAGUGUUGGGAGCCUACGGCAACGUAGCUCCUCAAAGUUAGUGGCGGAGUUGGUUCACACUCUAGACGUAGUAAUUUUUUAUCUCGCCUAUUAGUUGGACUAAUCCCCUGCCGUAAAACCCCCAAUUUAUCAAGGUUGACCUCGAAUCGGUUCAGACAAACUCGCUAAAUUGAAGCAUCUUAGUCAGCGAAGGAAAAGAAACCAACAGGGAUUGC